UACGUAGGGACCAAGCGUUGUCCGGAAUCAUUGGGCGCAAAGAGCGUGUAGGCGGCUUGUUAAGUCUUGCGUGAAAUCUCGGGGCUCAACCCCGAGCGGUCGUGAGAAACUGGCAGGCUAGAGUGCGGGAGAGGAGAGUGGAAUUCCUGGUGUAGCGGUGAAAUGCGCAGAUAUCAGGAAGAACACCCGUGGCGAAGGCGGCUCUCUGGAACGCAACUGACGCUGAGACGCGAAAGCGUGGGGAGCAAACAGG
rnacentral:rRNA from 1 species